AGAGUUUGAUUCUGGCUCAGAAUGAACGCUGGCGGCGUGGAUAAGACAUGCAAGUCGAACGGAAAUAUGAUUAGUUUACUAAGAUUAUUUUAGUGGCGGACGGGUUAGUAACACGUGAGCAACUUACCUCAAAGUGGGGGAUAGCCUUCCGAAAGGAAGAUUAAUACCGCAUGUGGCCCCCUGUUAAAAGGGAGUCAAAAGGUGCUUCGGCACCUGCUUUGAGAUAGGCUCGCGUCCUAUCAGUUAGUUGGUGAGGUAAUGGCUCACCAAGACUACGACGGGUAGCUGUUCUGAGAGGAAGAUCAGCAACACUGGAACUGAGACACGGUCCAGACACCUACGGGUGGCAGCAGUCGAGAAUCAUUCACAAUGGACGAAAGUCUGAUGGUGCAACGCCGCGUGGAGGAUGAAGGCCCUAGGGUCGUAAACUCCUGUCAUAGCAGAGUAAGGCAUAGAUGUUAAUAGCAUCUAUGUUUGAUAGUAUGCUAAGAGGAAGGGACGGCUAACUUCGUGCCAGCAGCCGCGGUAAUACGAAGGUCCCGAGCGUUAUUCGGAAUCACUGGGCGUAAAGGGAGCGUAGGCGGCGCGGUAAGUCAGAUGUGAAAUCUCAGAGCUCAACUCUGAAACUGCAUUCGAUACUGCCGUGCUAGAGUAAUGGAGAGGUAACUGGAAUUCUUGGUGUAGCAGUGAAAUGCGUAGAUAUCAAGAGGAAGACCAAUGGCGAAAGCAGGUUACUGGACAUUCACUGACGCUGAGGCUCGAAGGCUAGGGUAGCGAAAGGGAUUAGAUACCCCUGUAGUCCUAGCAGUAAACGAUGUGCGCUUGGUGUGGGAGGGUUCGACCCCUUCCGUGCCGGAGCUAACGCGUUAAGCGCACCGCCUGGGGAGUACGGUCGCAAGACUAAAACUCAAAGAAAUUGACGGGGACCCGCACAAGCGGUGGAGUAUGUGGCUUAAUUCGAUGCAACGCGAAGAACCUUACCUAGGCUUGACAUGUAUCGCUAAGCUGCCGAAAAGCAGUGAGCCUUCGGGCGCUUUACACAGGUGCUGCAUGGCCGUCGUCAGCUCGUGUCGUGAGAUGUUCGGUUAAGUCCGGCAACGAGCGCAACCCCUAUGGAUAGUUACUAACACGUCAUGGUGAGGACUUUAUUCAGACUGCCCAGAUCAACUGGGAGGAAGGUGGGGAUGACGUCAGGUCAGUAUG
rnacentral:rRNA from 1 species